AACGCAUAUUGCGCCCAUUAGUAUUCUAGUGGGCAUGCCUGUUCGAGCGUCAUUUCAACCCUCAAGUUUUAUAGCUUGGUGCUGGGGCUAUCUGUUGUAACAAUGUAUUACAGGCCCUGAAAGACAUUGGCGAGCUCACUGUAAACCCGAGCGUAGUAGAAUUUUUUAUUCGCUUAGGGUGUCCAGUUAGUAUUAGCCAUUAAACAACUCCAUUUUAUUAAAGUUGACCUCGGAUCAGGUAGGAAUACCCGCUGAACUUAA
rnacentral:misc_RNA from 1 species